AAAUUAUCUUGUGUACUAAGGCAUUCUGUGAUAUGUGUCCGUGUUCGAUGUGGCAUGAACUCGUCCCUGCGGUCAUGGAUGGUUAGAUUAGCCGUGUGCUGCUGCGGUUAUACGGGAGAUGCAGAAUUCUUGCAUAAAUAGAUGCUGGAAGCAGCAACCUCAUGUCCCUGUGUCUGUGUUUUCAGGUCCGGAGCUGCUGCUGGCUUCUGCCGUGACCUUCUGCGCCUCGUGCAUGUUGGUAGGCUUGGCUGGCACCCCCGGCCUCGACUACCUAGUGCCUCGGCGACACUGCCCUCCGGGAAGUGUGAGACAACAACACUGUAACGUUGCCCACCGGUGUUGAUGUCGGCCACAGGCCGCUGUUGGCACCCUGCUCAGCCUGGCCCUGUGUCCAAAGAGGCAAAUAGCAAGUUGAUUAUUUGGCCGUGGCCUUCUGCUCCUCACGCAUGGUCGUAGGCUCGGCUGUCACCCCCGGCCUCGACUAUGUAGUGCCUAGGCGACACCACCCUCCGGGAAGUGUGAAACAGAAAAACUACGGUGUUGCCCACCUGUGUUGACAUCGGUCACAAGCCGCAGUCGGCACCCUGCUCAGCUCGUCCCUGUGUCCAGAGGCUAAGAAUGGAACAGGCCCCGUCACGCGCCCGAGGCCUGUUCCCGCCCAGCAACGUGAAGGAGGCAGCUGCCCGACAGUGUCCACAUCCAGUGGCGUGUCAACCGACAAGAGCAUGAAAAAAUUAGGCCCACAGAAGGAGUAGAUGGGUCGGACAAAUCGAUGGAGAAUAUUUUGGAGCAGUGUAACGCAUCCCAAUCCAGCAGCUUGUCCUACAAGGCCGUAGCCGCCGUCAUCAUCCAGGUCAUCUUGCUGUUCCGAUUGCUUAUGUACCAUGAGAAGAGAGAACAUCGAAAUCUGCUAUUUGCUUCUUCUUUUUUUCAAAUGAUAUUGCCCACUUAUGAUCUGUUACUUAUUAGGGCUGUAUUGACUAUUUGCUGAUUCUCCAGUUUUGCUGUACUUGACCAUGUGUUGUUCUUGUUCAAGGGAAAGGCAGAUGACUAAUUGACGGGCAAAUCAGUAGCUGCACUAGUUGGAAGUUGGAGGACCCAGUGACAAGUGAGUUAGACAAUAUGGCUUGUGUUUAGCACAAGCAUGUGUGUGGGAGGCUGAUAAGAUGUGCUCUUUGUGAAGUUGAUUGAUAAUGAACAUGGUAGUGGUUUCCUCUUUGUUAUCUGCAUGUGAUGUGGCUUGGCGGUCGCCCGGUCCAGGGUCAACAUGCUUUGUUGUGUUGCUGCUUUCCUCGUCUGCUUGGGUCUGUCAUGACUGUGGGCUAUGUAGUAAAUCUGUUUGAGCUGUUGUUGAGAUGAGAAAUUGCAAAUUUUUCUUA